GCGAGGUCCGGUACCUUCUGUAGCCAGCGCUAACUGAAAGCGAGGACGCUUUGCUCAGCUCACUAGUAGGCCCAGAAAGCAACUCUGGGCGUCACGCUCUCCAGGGGGGUCCCAGCUCCCACUAGUCUGGUAAGGGUCGCGUUUGCCUGGAGGUCUCCUGACCUUCGCCCUCCGAAGAAGUGAACGUUUGGGGCAUCGUUGGGAAAUAAUGGCUUCCUCGAGGAGCGUGCUCGGGGCCAUACGCCGGGCGCCGCCCUAGGCUACUGCCAACGCUCGGGACUCCCUCCUUCACGCCGAAAGUGAAGGGGAAAAGACCUCCUGACCCCCGGCUGGAGGUAACGAAGUGUCACCCACGGGGUCUGGCUCGUUGACCAGGACUCCCCACCGCCGAAGCUUUUCAGCCACCAAGUUGCAGAUGCUAGCAUGAUGCCAACAUGACUUACCUGAGCAGAUGACCUCACCAAAGUAUCAUGGAACCUCAUCUCUCCAGAACGUUGACCCACUAGGGACAGAUAGAAACAGGCUGGGAGUAUGGAUCGGCUUGUCAACAUCCAUGUCAACCAGACAAGCAAUUACAGAAGUCAGACCUUCCACCAGACCUUCUGAGAAAAUGGACCCUGGAUCCAUAUUCUCAGAGGGAUAAAGAAUAUGAAAGCUUCUAAUGGAGGGGAUAGUAUGCGGAACUCUGGUGGUGGGAAUUAGACCUCUCUUAUCCUACGGUCUUGUCGAUCAUUAUUAAAUCAAUUUUUUCUCUGUCUCUAUACAAGUAAAUAAAUAGUUUAAAAUGUU